rnacentral:rRNA from 1 species
AUACGGAGGAUCCGAGCGUUAUCCGGAUUUAUUGGGUUUAAAGGGAGCGUAGGUGGAUUGUUAAGUCAGUUGUGAAAGUUUGCGGCUCAACCGUAAAAUUGCAGUUGAAACUGGCAGUCUUGAGUACAGUAGAGGUGGGCGGAAUUCGUGGUGUAGCGGUGAAAUGCUUAGAUAUCACGAAGAACUCCGAUUGCGAAGGCAGCUCACUAGACUGUUACUGACACUGAUGCUCGAAAGUGUGGGUAUCAAACAGGAUUAGAUACCCUGGUAGUCCACACAGUAAACGAUGAAUAUUCGCUGUUUGCGAUAUACAGUAAGCGGCCAAGCGAAAGCAUUAAGUAUUCCACCUGGGGAGUACGCCGGCAACGGUGAAACUCAAAGGAAUUGACGGGG